rnacentral:rRNA from 1 species
UACGGAGGGUGCGAGCGUUGUCCGGAAUCAUUGGGCGUAAAGGGCGCGUAGGUGGCCACUUCAAGCGUGCGGUGAAAGUCGGGGGCUCAACCCCUGAUCGGCCGUGCGAACUGGGGGGCUGGAGCACUGUAGAGGCAGGCGGAAUUCCGGGUGUAGCGGUGGAAUGCGUAGAGAUCCGGAAGAACACCGGUGGCGAAGGCGGCCUGCUGGGCAGUUUUGCUGACA